AACCGGGGGAACUGAAACAUCUAAGUACCCCGAGGAGAAGAAAUCAACCGAGAUUCCGGUAGUAGCGGCGAGCGAACCUGGAUUAGCCCUUAAGCACUCGGUGAAGUAGGUGAACAAGCUGGAAAGCUUGGCGAUACAGGGUGAUAGCCCCGUAACCGACGCUUCAUCGAGCGUGAAAUCGAGUAGGGCGGGACACGUGAUAUCCUGUCUGAAUAUGGGGGGACCAUCCUCCAAGGCUAAAUACUCCUGACUGACCGAUAGUGAACCAGUACCGUGAGGGAAAGGCGAAAAGAACCCCUGUGAGGGGAGUGAAAUAGAACCUGAAACCGUGUACGUACAAGCAGUAGGAGCACCUUCGUGGUGUGACUGCGUACCUUUUGUAUAAUGGGUCAGCGACUUAUAUUCAGUGGCAAGGUUAACCGUAUAGGGGAGCCGUAGCGAAAGCGAGUCUUAACUGGGCGCUCAGUCUCUGGAUAUAGACCCGAAACCGGGUGAUCUAGCCAUGGGCAGGUUGAAGGUUGAGUAACAUCAACUGGAGGACCGAACCGACUAAUGUUGAAAAAUUAGCGGAUGACUUGUGGCUAGGGGUGAAAGGCCAAUCAAACUCGGAGAUAGCUGGUUCUCCCCGAAAGCUAUUUAGGUAGCGCCUCGGACGAAUACUACUGGGGGUAGAGCACUGUUAAGGCUAGGGGGUCAUCCCGACUUACCAACCCUUUGCAAACUCCGAAUACCAGUAAGUACUAUCCGGGAGACACACGGCGGGUGCUAACGUCCGUCGUGGAGAGGGAAACAACCCAGACCGCCAGCUAAGGUCCCAAAGUAUUGCUAAGUGGGAAACGAUGUGGGAAGGCUCAGACAGCUAGGAUGUUGGCUUAGAAGCAGCCAUCAUUUAAAGAAAGCGUAAUAGCUCACUAGUCGAGUCGGCCUGCGCGGAAGAUGUAACGGGGCUAAGCA
rnacentral:rRNA from 1 species